GUUGGAUGAGCGUGUGGUCAAAAGUUCAUCACCAAAAUGUUUAUUAUUAAUAAUGAGGUUAUAAGCUUCAAAGCCAAUGCGGUGCUACUGGCUCCCAUGGAAGCCAUUUUUUCAAUUUGUUCUCAUUUAAUUACGAGUAGGUACAGUAAUUGGAAACAGGCUCUCUCCCAUGGGCAAGGUUGCAGGAAAUGGAAACCUCUAAUACCAUUCUGCCUGGGAAGAGUCAGCGUCCACAUCACGUGCAGCUGGGUCUCUCGCAAGGCCUGCCCCGCGGAGAAGGAAAAGAGCACAUUCUAGGAGAGGUCGAGGAUAAACUGAGGCUAUCCAGGCUGGUUUUUAUCAAGACUCACCGGAAGCCAUUCUUCCCUGAGGUCCUGCUGCCUCCUUGGAAAACAGACACAAGUCCUCUCUGCCCUCUGCUCCCACACACACCUGGCAAUGUUGCUGCUUCUCCAGGUUCAGCCUGCGGUGAGGGAAGCCAAGCCCCUCAUGGGGUCUCCCCACAUCUACACCUUCCCUGCAUCCCCUCCAACCCUCCCCCGUGCCUGCAGCCUGGAGAGUCUUUUUCUCAUCAGAGAUGGGGCGAGAGAGGGUCUUCCUGUCAUGCGUCUUAUUUCCUUCUAAAUAUUUUUCCUCUGAUAUGAGUCCUUUCUGUACCUGAAGGGUCUAGGCUAUUGAAACUUAAAGGCCAGGAAGAGAGUUCCUUUUCCCUCUCCUUUCUUCUAUCACAGGGAGGGGUAUGGAGAAAGACAGCACUCACACUGCUGAGGGAAGGGAGGGCCAAGAAGGCAAAAGAAAAAACAGUCAGCUCAUACUUUUAAAAUAUGAUCCUACCACACACUAAGAGACAGGCUCAGAGACGGGCAGCAUCUUGCCCAAAGAACAGAGCAAAUGCUUGUGGAUGAACUUGAACCAGAAAUUAGCAUCAAGAAUGUGAGAUAUGGGAGAAAAUUCAGACACCUUUUAAUCCAGUGGGUCCGGCUGUGAGUCAGAACCACCUGGUCUCACUCGGGGAAUCUGACUUUAACAAGAGCCCCAGGAAAUUGUUCAGUAGUAAUUCUGUCUCUUUGGAAAACAUUUUCCAGAUGAAGACAGUAAGGCCUAGAGAGACUAUGUUCUCACAGUUGUAAUUCAUAAUCUACCUAUUUCCAAAGAAAUUGAGGCUAUGUAUAACAAGUUCAUGGCCUCAAGACUAGAACAUGAUGCUUGGCUCCCAGCUCAGGGCUCCUUCUUCCAGAAACCAGCUUGUUGCCUAUCUUCCAUCCUGUCCACUCCUGCAAAGUGAAAAGUUUUAUCCAUUUUUUGCCAUUUGUAACCAAUUAAUUCCCCCAAAUUACCCAGAAGACCAUUAGGGUUGGGAGAGAAUUAGAAGCGCCUGUGGCCAGAGAUGGCUGCCAGGAGCAAGAAGUAUGUAAAUACAUAGUCAACAUCCAUCUACCCACCUACGGGGGGUGCAUGUUUGGGGCAAGCAGACUACAGAUAAUCCAAAAAUAUUAAUUUGACUGCUAAUUAAUUACUCGAUGAGUCCUAGGAAACAUUGGACAAUGUCAUUAACUUUUUUAAAUUUUGGUCAAGAAAUAAUAAUUGAAUACUCCUAUACACCCUCCCCCAUGCUCAGACUGGGGAAACAGGCGUGAAACUGUCAUCUAAGGCCCCUAGGCUCAGGGAAUUUACAUUUUUAUGGGAAGACAGGUCAAAACACAAGUAAACAUGAAAAUACAUGAAUUAAUCCUUAUAUGUGGAAAAUGACAUCAAGAAAGCAAGCAAAAGAUUGAGCUAGAAGAGGAGUUGGCAGACUUUUUCUAAAAACGGUCAGACGGUAAAUAUUUUACACUGUGUGGACCAUACCAUCUGAAUCACGACCAAGCAGCCAAAGUCAAUCCGCAAAGGAAUGGGGCUGGCCGUGUUCCAACACACUUUAUUUACAAAACCAGGCUGUGGUCAGUUGUGGCCCAUGUAGUUUGGUGACCCCUGAGCACGAUGCGUGCGGGGUGGAGGGUAGAGACCA
rnacentral:lncRNA from 1 species